rnacentral:rRNA from 1 species
GGUGAACGCUGGCGGCGUGCCUAAUACAUGCAAGUCGAGCGAACGGACGAGAAGCUUGCUUUUCUGAUGUUAGCGGCGGACGGGUGAGUAACACGUGGAUAACCUACCUAUAAGACUGGGAUAACUUCGGGAAACCGGAGCUAAUACCGGAUAAUAUUUUGAACCGCAUGGUUCAUAAGUGAAAGACGGUCUUGCUGUCACUUAUAGAUGGAUCCGCGCUGCAUUAGCUAGUUGGUAAGGUAACGGCUUACCAAGGCAACGAUGCAUAGCCGACCUGAGAAGGUGAUCGGCCACACUGGAACUGAGACACGGUCCAGACUCCUACGGGAGGCAGCAGUAGGGAAUCUUCCGCAAUGGGCGAAAGCCUGACGGAGCAACGCCGCGUGAGUGAUGAAGGUCUUCGGAUCGUAAAACUCUGUUAUUAGGGAAGAACAUAUGUGUAAGUAACUGUGCACAUCUUGACGGUACCUAAUCAGAAAGCCACGGCUAACUACGUG